rnacentral:rRNA from 1 species
CACGUAGGGGACGAGCGUUGUCCGGAUUCAUUGGGCGUAAAGCGCGCGUAGGCGGCUCGGAAAGUCGGGCGUGAAAUGCCGGGGCUCAACCCCGGGACUGCGUCCGAUACUUCCGAGCUGGAGGUAGGUAGGGGAGAUCGGAAUUCCUGGUGUAGCGGUGAAAUGCGCAGAUAUCAGGAGGAACACCCGUAGCGAAGGCGGCACUCU